rnacentral:misc_RNA from 1 species
UUUCCGUAGGUGAACCUGCGGAAGGAUCAUUACAAAAUGUUAUGGGAUGUCCUAACGGGCGCCCAAGCAAACACAUCUAUAUUAAACUUUUGAAACAAUUACUAGUCUGAUAAGGCCAUAUGCUGUAAAAAUUUAAAUAUAUUAAAACUUUCAACAACGGAUCUCUUGGCUCUC